AUCACGGGAAGCCCCCCGAGGACCCUGAGGGGUCACGACUCACUUCUUCCAGCAGGAAGCCAGUCUGUCAACCUCACUCACAGGGGCGUGUGAGGUUUGAGACCCGCCCUCACCUAACAGUUCUUAGUCCACAACAGACACCUGAGAACCUGUUCGUUCCUCUCCCCGUGAGUACCUCACGUGACCGUCUGCAGCCCCACCACCCGGGACAGUGUCACAGAUGGCUGCGGUGCCCUGGACAGUCUUUGCGUCUCGGGACUGCAGUUUGCGCCCAGACCCCCACCUGCUCACCUCAUCUGUUGGCGCUGCAGGUACUCGUAGCUGUUGGCGCUGGCCGGCCGCAGCCAUGGCAGCAGAAAGAUCCACAGCAUGGGGCCACCAUCCUCUUCGUAGGUCAAUGAGAACAACUGUUCUGAUGAUAAAAGGAAAACUCAGAACGGGCCACAACACCCAGCAUGUGGGAUCUUAAUUCCUUGACCUGGGAUCAAAUUUGUGACCAUUCCCUGUAAUGGAAGCAAGGAAUCUUAACCACUGGAUAGCCAGGGAAGUCCCUGAACUGUUCACUUUAAAACGGUUAACUUAUAUUAUGUGUAUUUGACCUCAUCACAAAAAAUUAAAGCAUCAGCCUUC